AUGAACGCUAGCGGUGCGCCUAACACAUGCAAGUCGAGCGAUAUAGCGGCGAACGGGUGAGUAACACGUUGGAACCUACCUUGGACUCAGGGAUAGCCCGCCGAAAGGUGGAUUAAUACCGGAUAGUCCCGCAAGGGUAAAGCUUUUGCGGUCCAAGAGGGGCCUGCGCAGUAUCAGUUAGUUGGUAAGGUAAUGGCUUACCAAGACUACGACGCUUAGCUGGUCUGAGAGGAUAAUCAGCCACAAUGGAACUGAGACACGGUCCAUACUCC
rnacentral:rRNA from 1 species